UGCUUAACACAUGCAAGUCGAACGGGCUCUUCGGAGCUAGUGGCGGACGGGUGAGUAACGCGUGAGAAUCUGCCUUCAGGAGGGGGAUAACGACUGGAAACGGUCGCUAAUACCCCAUAUGCCUCCGGGUGAAAAGUAAUUCGCCUGAAGAUGAGCUCGCGUCAGAUUAGCUAGUUGGUGGGGUAAGAGCCUACCAAGGCGACGAUCUGUAGCUGGUCUGAGAGGAUGAUCAGCCACACUGGGACUGAGACACGGCCCAGACUCCUACGGGAGGCAGCAGUGGGGAAUUUUCCGCAAUGGGCGCAAGCCUGACGGAGCAAGACCGCGUGGGGGAUGACGGCCUAAUGGUUGUAAACCCCUUUUCUCUGGGAAGAAGACUGACGGUACCAGAGGAAUCAGCCUCGGCUAACUCCGUGCCAGCAGCCGCGGUAAUACGGAGGAGGCAAGCGUUAUCCGGAAUUAUUGGGCGUAAAGCGUCCGUAGGUGGUUAUUCAAGUCUGCUGUCAAAGCGUGGGGCUUAACUCCAUAGAGGCAGUGGAAACUGAGUGACUAGAGUGCGGUAGGGGUCGAGGGAAUUCCCAGUGUAGCGGUGAAAUGCGUAGAUAUUGGGAAGAACACCAGUGGCGAAAGCGCUCGACUGGGCCUGCACUGACACUGAGGGACGAGAGCUAGGGGAGCGAAAGGGAUUAGAUACCCCUGUAGUCCUAGCCGUAAACGAUGGAUACUAGGUGUUGCUCGUCAUCGACCCGAGCAGUGCCGUAGCCAACGCGUUAAGUAUCCCGCCUGGGGAGUACGCUCGCAAGAGUGAAACUC
rnacentral:rRNA from 1 species